UAAAAAAGGGUUCGCUGUUACAUUUAUCUCAUUUUUUAAAUCAAUUUUUAUUAUGGUGCAUUCUUGCAGUGCAUACAACUGCACAGAAAGAUAUAAAAAUGGUUCAGACAUAUCAAUUCAUGGAUUUCCAGAAGAUUUAUUAAUUCGGAAUAAAUGGAUUGUUGCAAUAUGUAAUAAAUAAUCGUACAUUGUUUGUGGUUGGAGUUUAAAAAAGCAACUUAAAAAAGAUGCUAUACUUGGAAUUAAAUGAUUUGUGGAAAUUACCAAUCAGCUACUUUUUAAUUAAUGAAAUCUCAGCAAUUCAAAAGAGUUACUUGGUAAAAAUGUGUUUAAAAAUAUUAAGCGAAGUUGAAAUUACUAUAACAAGUUUAACUUUUGAUGGUGUUUCGUCUAAUAUUAGUAUGGCUAAUCAUCUUGGAGUUGAUUUUUCUGUUAACUCUACUUGCACAUGCUUUUCACAUCCAGUUGCAAAAAAGCCAGUUUACAUUAUAAUGGAUCCUCCACACAUGUUAAAACUGAUAAGAAAUAAUUUUGGUUUGCACAAAAUAAUGUUUGAUUCUAAUAAUUAACCAAUAAAAUGGGAUUAUGUUGAAAAGUUAGUAGCUAUUCAAGAAAAGGAAGGGCUGCAUUUAGCAACAAAACUUACAAAAAGACAAAUUGGUUUCAA